ensembl:lncRNA
GUACACCGACCGUCUCCUUACCAACAUUACAACCAAAGCAGAAUCCAGACCAUGAAGGAGUAUGAUUGGACCCCCAUCCCACCCCGCGGCUGUAUCAUGGGUCAUGGGGAUGUCCCCUCCCCUACGACCAUCUACACAGACAAGGGAAUCCCCAUAUCCGUCAUCCACCCCUUCCCUUCAGACACUUCCUGCUCUGUGCAGUCCAGUCCAGCUACUGCACACAUCCAGCAGGGUUCACAAAGCCUGGCAAACGCUAGGCCCAAGUUCAACACCUUCAUCCCUCACCAUGCUGGUUUUUAUUCCCCUGGUUCAAUGUUCAAUGGACUCAAACUGUCAUAGUGUCCACCAGACAACUCCCUCAUACUCUCAUUACAGCUACUACCAGCCAACCUGUCCUGUGGGGUUUCUGUAUCAUGGCAAUCAAAACCAGGACUGGCAGAGCAGGGAAAACAAGGAGACCAAGAAGAGUGAAGUCAACUUGGACACAGUUUUCCAGAUAGUGGACGAGCUGCACCACAGUUCCCCCAAAAUACGCAUGGUCAAACUGUAAACCCCAGAGCGCCAGCAGCCGGUCCUGGCCACCUCUAUAUCAUCAGGGCCCCAGCCCACCACCAAUAUCAACAGCUCACCAUCUCUUCCCAGAUUGACUCCUCUGUCAAAUCCAGCUUCCUGCCUGGCACAAUACUGAUGGAUGCCAGCACAGUGACUCCAUGAGGGUCCAUCAUUAUCAUUAACAGUCCCGGUGAACAUUCCUUCUCAGGGAAUUGCCAUCAUGGUCGGUGGUCAUGCAGCUGAUCAGCCAGUCAAGAGGGAGGAGGAACCUUUGCCUGUCGACGCCUAUCAGAAGGUUAGCUAGCCUAGCUUAGUAAAAACAUGGUACAUGGAGGCUAUUAUUCAUCAAGAAACAAACCAGUGUACCUAAGCUCAUCGUAUAGUUUAAUAAUUUGGGGUUUAAAGAAUUUAGAAUUGUGAAUGUAAAGAGAAAGCAAAGAUACUCAGUCCGUAUUCCUUGGUAAUAAAUAUUUUUAAAAACAUGUAUCAUAUGAAUGGUUAUCAGGGAUCCUGAUGAACUCUGUUUUAUAAUAAGAGGUUGAUCAUGCUGUGAUUUAUCCCAGUGCCCUAAGGAAGCAUCCAAGUACAUCACCAAGGUGAAGGACGUAAAGGAGAUCAAGGGGGUGGAUGCAGAGGUCUUCAGUGUUGUACAUGACGUUUCAGUGUUGUACAUGACGUUUCAGUGUUGUACAUGACGUUUCAGUGUUGUACAUGACGUUUCAGUGUUGUACAUGACGUUUCAGUGUUGUACAUGACGUUUCAGUGUUGUACAUGACGUUUCAGUGUUCUACAUGACAAGUUUCAGCAUCCUGGCAGAGGCAUCUAGGUUUUUAGCUAAAAUGUCCUGGUACUGGGUAAAGUUCAUGAUACCACCACCAUAUUUUACAGUAGGUAUGGGGUUCUUUUCUGCAGAUGCAACUUUCUUUCGAUGGUGUGUGUGGCCAAAGAGCUUUAUAUCCAUGUACUCAACAAAUGUAUAUGCCUGGUGUUUGCUGAACAGCGUUGGCACUUGGAUUGCAACUACUGCUAUGGUUAGAUGAAAAUGAAAAUAAAGCUCUUUGGCCACGCGCACCAGUGAAGAGUUUUGCGUCGAAAGAACAAUGCAUAUGCAGAAAAUACCUCAUCUCUACUGUAAAAUAUGGUGGAUGUUAUGGGGCUAUUUUGCUUCUACAUGUCCUGGGGCCCUUGUUAAGAUCAACGGCAUCAUGAGAUUUACCAAAUACAAGGAGGAAAUGUUUGCCAAAAACCUAGUUUCCUCUGCCGGAGUGGAUCUUCCAGCAAGACAAUAACCCCAAUUACAUAAAUGGUUAAUUGGCCACAAAAUCAACAGUUUGCAGUGGCACUCUGUCUCCAGAAUUGAACCCAAUUUGAAAAUCUGUGGUUUGAACUGAAGAGGGCAGUCCAUGAGCACAGACAAAGGAUAUCAGGGGCCUGGAAAGAUUCUGUAUUGAGUAAUGGUUUAAGAUCCCUCUCAAUGUGUUCUCCAAUCUCAUAAAACAUUUUUAGAAAAAGGCUGUGAAAAGCAACAAAUCUAUUUUAACUUUGAGUCAUUAAAAAAAAUAUCAUCAUUAUUAUGAUUAAAAUGUGAUAUAAUUAAUUGGAUGUUUGCAUUUCAUUUAUUGCAUCAUGUAGUUCUUUAUAUGUGGCCCUCAAAGGUGGAUUGUCUACAUUCCAGAAUCUUCGAUCUAAACGAGGUCAAAAAGUGGCGCUUGGCUGUUACCAGGGUUGUCCGCUGGAGGCCGCCCGGUGCCGUCUUUAGUGUCACUGUGUAGCUCGUGCUCCACCCUCCGUAACAGGCAGUCAGCAGGUAGACAGACGGUCAAUGAAAGCCCAGGGGAGGGAGACUACGAGAGGCAGGCUUCGGGACUUCGCUUAAUGUACAGUGUCUUUUUCCAACUUUUCAAUGUUUUUUUUAUGAAGAUCAAUAACAGCGUUUUAACGACUUGCGUUCCUUCGAUUCUACAUUUUUUCUACAUGUUCAGUAUCUUCAGUAAAUUACUGGAGUUUAGCGUAUAUAUAUUUUGUCGGCAACCGCGGGAAGUAUUUCGUUUCAGAAUUGUUAUAAAUUUCAGACGUGGUACUCGGGAAAAGAGACAACUUUUUUGGAAGGUGGCAGGAAGCAAACUGGUUUUAGAUGCGUAACAACUUAAGCGGGCGAUAGACAUGUGAAUGCGUCGGCUGCAGAAAUGACACGUGAUUUCUACUGCUAAUUAAUUAACUAGUUAUAACAUGCUAUGUAAAUCAUUUCAACGGUUCCAUUGGAUUAGCUAGUUAAACAUGUCAAAAGUCCGGAAUGCUCCGUUGUCAACUUUAUUGUGGCAUUUUUGUCGAGAUUUAGUCGCUACAGAGUUUAUGAAAGUUACUAUAGCAUUUCCGUCGUUGUUAACUGUAUGGUCGACUGUCAUCUUGGAAUCAGUCUUAUCAACAUCAAUUUGACUUUGUUCAUCUCGGUUUCUGAAGUUCAACAAACCUUGCCAUUCGUUUGAAACCUAAUAGGGAUACAGUGCGGUGGGGAUAGUCUACAUUCACACAUCCAGCGUAAAGAAUAGUAGGGGGAAUUGCUUUAGAGAUACUUGUUGCAUCUGGAGUCCGUCAGCCAGAUUUUACCAUUUUUUUCCUUGCUCUGGAAAUGUGACAUGGAAUACCGGUAAAUUUGAUAAAAUGUUAAAACCAGACGUUACUGUAGCAUGUUUAUAGUGGGUUGGUCACAUAAUUAAUUAUCAACAUUGUUGCAAAAGGUUUUUUGAAAUAUUGCCAGUGGUGGAAUAUUACAAGAGCCGGUGUUUUGGAGUGUCCGGACUGAACCGACUGACAACUUCAACCUGCACGUUGAAAAUGAGAACCGGGCUACUGUUUAUCUCCUGUAAGGACUGGAGCUCGUGUUGUAUGUGAAGAGUGAAAUCAAUAACUUUUUUCAACUGGAACAAACUUUUAAAGCGGGGUAAGAAUUAACCAGAAAUCCACAAGACAUGCAUCCACAAAGACAACAUGGCAGUCAGUGAGCCUUAAAACGUUGGAUUUAACCCUGUUUUUCGAAUAGUUUUCACGGGUUUGUACAUUUUAGAACCCACAAAGGAGGACCGUUGCUGGGCCAUAUAUUUAUUGUCCUGAAUCAACUCCGGUUGUUGCUAGCUUUGAAGUCCACGAUGUGC